CAGCAGCCGCGGUAAUACGAAGGGUGCAAGCGUUAAUCGGAAUUACUGGGCGUAAAGCGUGCGUAGGCGGUUUGUUAAGUCUGUUGUGAAAUCCCCGGGCUCAACCUGGGAAUGGCAGUGGAUACUGGCAAGCUAGAGUGUGUCAGAGGAUGGUGGAAUUCCCGGUGUAGCGGUGAAAUGCGUAGAGAUCGGGAGGAACAUCAGUGGCGAAGGCGGCCAUCUGGGACAACACUGACGCUGAGGCACGAAAGCGUGGGGAGCAAACAGGAUUAGAUACCCCGGUAGUCCCUGUCUCUUAUAC
rnacentral:rRNA from 1 species